GACGAACGCUGGCGGCGUGCUUAACACAUGCAAGUCGAACGGAAAGGCCCUGCUUUUGUGGGGUGCUCGAGUGGCGAACGGGUGAGUAACACGUGAGUAACCUGCCCUUGACUUUGGGAUAACUUCAGGAAACUGGGGCUAAUACCGGAUAGGAGCUCCUGCUGCAUGGUGGGGGUUGGAAAGUUUCGGCGGUUGGGGAUGGGCUCGCGGCUUAUCAGCUUGUUGGUGGGGUAGUGGCUUACCAAGGCUUUGACGGGUAGCCGGCCUGAGAGGGUGACCGGCCACAUUGGGACUGAGAUACGGCCCAGACUCCUACGGGAGGCAGCAGUGGGGAAUAUUGCACAAUGGGCGGAAGCCUGAUGCAGCAACGCCGCGUGCGGGAUGACGGCCUUCGGGUUGUAAACUGCUUUCGCCUGUGACGAAGCGUGAGUGACGGUAAUGGGUAAAGAAGCACCGGCUAACUACGUG
rnacentral:rRNA from 1 species